CAAUUAAACUCUAGUGGCGAACGGGUGAGUAACGCGUAAGCAAUCUGCCCCUAAGACGAGGAUAACAGUUGGAAACGACUGCUAAGACUGGAUAGGAGACAAGAAGGCAUCUUCUUGUUUUUAAAAGACCUAGCAAUAGGUAUGCUUAGGGAGGAGCUUGCGUCACAUUAGUUAGUUGGUGGGGCAAAGGCCUACCAAGACUAUGAUGUGUAGCCGGGCUGAGAGGUUGAACGGCCACAUUGGGACUGAGACACGGCCCAAACUCCUACGGGAGGCAGCAGUAGGAAAUUUUCGGCAAUGGAGGAAACUCUGACCGAGCAACGCCGCGUGAACGAUGAAGUAUUUCGGUACGUAAAGUUCUUUUAUUAGGGAAGAAUAAAUGAUGGAAAAAUCAUUCUGACGGUACCUAAUGAAUAAGCCCCGGCAAACUAUGUGCCAGCAGCCGCGGUAAUACAUAGGGGGCAAGCGUUAUCCGGAAUUAUUGGGCGUAAAGGGUGCGUAGGCGGUUAAAUAAGUUUAUGGUCUAAGUGCAAUGCUCAACAUUGUGAUGCUAUAAAAACUGUUUAGCUAGAGUAAGAUAGAGGCAAGUGGAAUUCCAUGUGUAGUGGUAAAAUGCGUAAAUAUAUGGAGGAACACCAGUAGCGAAAGCGGCUUGCUGGGUCUUUACUGACGCUGAGGCACGAAAGCGUGGGGAGCAAACAGGAUUAGAUACCCUGGUAGUCCACGCCGUAAACGAUGAGUACUAAGUGUCGGGGUAAAACUCGGUACUGAAGUUAACACAUUAAGUACUCCGCCUGAGUAGUACGUACGCAAGUAUGAAACUUAAAGGAAUUGACGGGACUCCGCACAAGCGGUGGAUCAUGUUGUUUAAUUCGAAGAUACACGAAAAAUCUUACCAGGUCUUGACAUACUCUGCAAAGCUAUAGAAAUAUAGUGGAGGUUAUCAGGGAUACAGGUGGUGCAUGGUUGUCGUCAGCUCGUGUCGUGAGAUGUUGGGUUAAGUCCCGCAACGAGCGCAACCCUUAUUGUUAGUUACCAGCACGUAAUGGUGGGGACUUUAGCAAGACUGCCAGUGAUAAAUUGGAGGAAGGUGGGGACGACGUCAAAUCAUCAUGCCCCUUAUGACCUGGGCUACAAACGUGAUACAAUGGCUGUUACAAAGGGUAGCUGAAGCGCAAGUUUUUGGCGAAUCUCAAAAAAACAGUCUCAGUUCGGAUUGAAGUCUGCAACUCGACUUCAUGAAGUUGGAAUCGCUAGUAAUCGCGAAUCAGCAUGUCGCGGUGAAUACGUUCUCGGGGUUUGUACACACCGCCCGUCAAACCACGAAAGUUGGUAAUACCCAAAGCCGGUGGCCUAACUUCGCAAGAAGAGGGAACCGUCUAAGGUAGGGUCGAUGAUUGGGGUUAAG
rnacentral:rRNA from 2 species